GCUUUCGAUUCAGUAAAAAUGGCAAACAAGCUCAAAGUAGACGAACUUCGAGCCGAAUUGGCUAAACGUGGACUUGACACCACCGGAACCAAAGCUUCCCUGGUUCGGAGACUCGAUGCAGCNNNNNNNAGGCAAUCAAUGGACUCUGUUGAUGCUCGUGGUAGGAAGAAAAGAGAAAGGGACACUCAGGACGGGUUUUCUAAUGGAGCAGAGAAAAUCAAGGCCAUUGAGAAUUUUCG
rnacentral:misc_RNA from 1 species